ensembl:lncRNA
GUUGUGCAGGACUCGCGUUGGUCAAUUUUAAUUCUAUAGACUGGACAGGGCCGACUUUGAAAGUGAGAUUGUGCGUUUUAAUGGAGGAAAUAUGAGAGGGACUUGUUUUAUAUAGUCUAUACAAGGUACUGCGUAUUGUCAGAUAUCUUUUAUCUUUUAUUUUUCCAUGAAUGAUUCAUGCUUCGGUUGCUUUGUGCUGUCCCGCCAUUCAGAAGCAAAGCCAUUAGGGGGCUAUACAUUUCCCCAUUAGCCCUGGUGAUUGGUUUAUAGCAGCACCUUAUUAGGCCCGUUGUUUUGAGUUACCAGUGAAAGUUUUUUGAACUGUCAGGAAUUAUGAAUUCAAAUAUUCCGUCGCAUUUCAUCUGUUUGUCAGGUGUGAGAGCACCCCGUUGAAUGUUGAUGUGUCUUGUUGACGGGGCUGUUAGAUGUGUAUGUCUGUAAUUAUUAGAGUAGGCCUAGGGUAUCUAACAGGGAAGUUGAGUUGCUUUUUCUUUGACAACGUGUUUGUAUAGCCUACACGUUACUUCUAUCUUCUGUAGGCUAACGUAUAAUAAUAUGAUAACAGCUAUUAUUUUACCAGCUUACAGCUGCAUUUACUGUAUAAAAACAAGUCAAUUAUAUUUCUUCUUUAAGGAAUGUCAUCCAGCCCUGGCAGACCUCCUGAAUUCUGUGAAGAAACAAUAGUUUAUGUAAACCAAAACACAUUAACUAACACGGCCUAGUGUAUUUAUUCAGCUUUAGCAUGAAUUUAUACUGUCAAAUGUAUCACGAACAUCAAGGGUUUCAUUAUCACUUUUUAUCCAUCAUUACCAACGGCACCAUGCACCUCAAAGAGAAAAACACAGUCACUACAAAAGGCAUGCGAGAAGAGGGACGUUUCACAUUACACUGCCUAUAUUCAAGUAAAUAAUAAUAUUUUUUUCUUUUACAGAACAAGAUCAAAAGCAUCAGUAGGCUACUACAUAUUCACCAAAAUUAAUAUUAUUAUUCUUUGGUGUCUCUGUAAAUCCAGUACAACAUUUAUACCAGCAAAUAAAUUACAAUAUACAAAACAAUAUUAUUCGUAAUUAAGACUAAGAACAACAUUCACAAGAAUCAACC